AGAGCGGUCGCGGGCUGAGAAGUUGUACCUGGCCCUCGCCAUGCCGAAGGUUCGCGAGCCGCCUCCUGUCGGGCGACGUUCAGAACAUCCACAUUGUGAUUAAAAAGGGUCAAAAAUCGAGGCACCACCUGCUGCGGUGAAUCUUACUUAAUGCUGAUGGCAAAUUCUCCGCCGUCCUUCUGCCGGACCAGGUAGGUUCCUUCAGAGCGGGACAUGAGCAGGUUCUUGGCGGCGGGUCGGUCCAUGUUCCCCGCAAACCUUCAAACAUGGACAAUCACAACUACUUCUUUAGCCAGCAC